rnacentral:sRNA from 1 species
GAUGAAGGAUGUUCGACUAAAACCACCACAUCCUGUGGCAACGUCGAUCCACCCACAAUGAGGG